rnacentral:rRNA from 1 species
UACGGGGGGAGCAAGCGUUGUUCGGAAUUAUUGGGCGUAAAGGGCGCGUAGGCGGCAUGUUAAGUCGGCUGUGAAAGCCCGGGGCUCAACCCCGGAGGGUCGGCCGAUACUGGCAAGCUAGAGUACAGAAGAGGUAGCUGGAAUUCCCGGUGUAGCGGUGAAAUGCGUAGAUAUCUGGGGGAAGGCCGGCGGCGAAGGCGGCUCACUGGACCGGUACUGACGCUGAUGCGCGAAAGCGUGGGGAGCAAACAGG